UGCAGUCGAACGAUGAAGCCCAGCUUGCUGGGUGGAUUAGUGGCGAACGGGUGAGUAACACGUGAGUAACCUGCCCUUGACUCUGGGAUAAGCACUGGAAACGGUGUCUAAUACCGGAUAUUUCAGCUGGCCGCAUGGUCUGGUUGUGGAAAGAAUUUUGGUCAAGGAUGGACUCGCGGCCUAUCAGGUUGUUGGUGAGGUAAUGGCUCACCAAGCCUACGACGGGUAGCCGGCCUGAGAGGGUGACCGGCCACACUGGGACUGAGACACGGCCCAGACUCCUACGGGAGGCAGCAGUGGGGAAUAUUGCACAAUGGGCGAAAGCCUGAUGCAGCAACGCCGCGUGAGGGACGACGGCCUUCGGGUUGUAAACCUCUUUUAGUAGGGAAGAAGCGAAAGUGACGGUACCUGCAGAAAAAGCACCGGCUAACUACGUGCCAGCAGCCGCGGUAAUACGUAGGGUGCAAGCGUUGUCCGGAAUUAUUGGGCGUAAAGAGCUCGUAGGCGGUUUGUCGCGUCUGCUGUGAAAACUGGAGGCUCAACCUCCAGCCUGCAGUGGGUACGGGCAGACUAGAGUGCGGUAGGGGAGAUUGGAAUUCCUGGUGUAGCGGUGGAAUGCGCAGAUAUCAGGAGGAACACCGAUGGCGAAGGCAGAUCUCUGGGCCGUAACUGACGCUGAGGAGCGAAAGCAUGGGGAGCGAACAGGAUUAGAUACCCUGGUAGUCCAUGCCGUAAACGUUGGGAACUAGAUGUGGGGGCCAUUCCACGGUCUCCGUGUCGCAGCUAACGCAUUAAGUUCCCCGCCUGGGGAGUACGGCCGCAAGGCUAAAACUCAAAGGAAUUGACGGGGGCCCGCACAAGCGGCGGAGCAUGCGGAUUAAUUCGAUGCAACGCGAAGAACCUUACCAAGGCUUGACAUAUACGAGAACGGGCCAGAAAUGGUCAACUCUUUGGACACUCGUAAACAGGUGGUGCAUGGUUGUCGUCAGCUCGUGUCGUGAGAUGUUGGGGUUAAGUCCCGCAACGAGCGCAACCCUCGUUCUAUGUUGC
rnacentral:rRNA from 1 species